rnacentral:rRNA from 1 species
GACGAACGCUGGCGGCGUGCCUAAUACAUGCAAGUUGAGCGCUGAAGGUUGGUACUUGUACCAACUGGAUGAGCAGCGAACGGGUGAGUAACGCGUGGGGAAUCUGCCUUUGAGCGGGGGACAACAUUUGGAAACGAAUGCUAAUACCGCAUAAAAACUUUAAACACAAGUUUUAAGUUUGAAAGAUGCAAUUGCAUCACUCAAAGAUGAUCCCGCGUUGUAUUAGCUAGUUGGUGAGGUAAAGGCUCACCAAGGCGAUGAUACAUAGCCGACCUGAGAGGGUGAUCGGCCAAAUUGGGAAUGGGACACGGCCCAAACUCCUACGGGAGGCAGCAGUAGGGAAUCUUCGGCAAUGGACGAAAGUCUGACCGAGCAACGCCGCGUGAGUGAAGAAGGGUUUCGGAUCGUAAAACUCUGUUGGUAGAGAAGAACGUUGGUGAGAGUGGAAAGCUCAUCAAGUGACGGUAACUACCCAGAAAGGGACGGCUAACUACGUG